AUUGAACGCUGGCGGCAUGCCUUACACAUGCAAGUCGAACGGCAGCGCGGGGCAACCUGGCGGCGAGUGGCGAACGGGUGAGUAAUAUAUCGGAACAUACCCUAGAGUGGGGGAUAACGUAGCGAAAGUUACGCUAAUACCGCAUACGCACUAAGGUGGAAAGUGGGGGAUUCGCAAGAACCUCAUGCUCAUGGAGUGGCCGAUAUCUGAUUAGCUAGUUGGUGAGGUAAAGGCUCACCAAGGCAACGAUCAGUAGCUGGUUUGAGAGGAUGAUCAGUCACACUGGAACUGAGACACGGUCCAGACUCCUACGGGAGGCAGCAGUGGGGAAUAUUGGACAAUGGGCGAAAGCCUGAUCCAGCAAUGCCGCGUGAGUGAUGAAGGCCUUAGGGUUGUAAAGCUCUUUUACCCGGGAUGAUAAUGACAGUACCGGGAGAAUAAGCCCCGGCUAACUCCGUGCCAGCAGCCGCGGUAAU
rnacentral:rRNA from 1 species